UGUGGUCCUGUGACAGCAGGUCUGGUCUGUUGGUUAGGGGCCGCUGAUAGGUUAAUGUAUGUGCCAAACCAGUGCGAUCCUGAUAACCUGCACCAUGUCUCUCUUGAUCUUUGCCAGGACCUUGGCGAGGAGUUGGAUCGGAGGGAAUGUGUACAUCAGACCCUUUGACCAUGGCAGGAGGAAGGCAUCAUAGAGGGAGUCCUUGCCAAGAGCAAAACCGAUGACAGUUUAUGUUUUGCCUGGUGGCGAACAGGUCCACUUGGGGAGUUCCCCACCUCUGGAGGACCAUGUAGGCUACGUCCCAGUGGAGCGACCACUUGUGGUGAGGGGAGAAGGCCCUGCUGAGGCGAUCUGCUAGCAUGCUCUUGACGCCAGGGAGGUGACAAGCCUCCAGGUGGAUCCCAGGAUCGAUGCAGAAGUUCCAGUGACGGAGUGCCUCUUGGCAGACAGCCAACAAGCGCGCUCCCCCUUGCCUGUUGAUGUAGAACACUGAGGCUGUGUUGUCCAUCAGGACUCUCACCACGUUGCCCGACAGGUGAGGUAAGAAGAUGCUGCAUGCCAAUCGGACCGCUCUGAGUUCUUUGACGUUUAUGUGGCGUGCCAUUCUCCAUUGGGGACCACAUACCCUGGGUCUGGAGAUCUCCGAGGUGCACACCCGAGCCAAGGUCCAAAGCGUCUGACACCAACUCAAAAGGAGUGAGGGGGACUGUAGAAUGGAACUCCCUCUAGGGCCUUCUCACGAUCGGUCCACCAUCACAGCAAGUAGGCUCAGGGAGCGGCACGUGGCUUGCAGCACCGCGACAUCCCUUUGGACCUGAGACCUAGAGCUGCCUUUGACAAGCCAGUCAUCGUGGUAAGGGUAGAGCUUUAUACCCUGGUGCCUGAGCAAGAAGAUAGAAGAAUGAGAAUACUGAGGGGCUGAAGAGCAUGACUGAGGCCAAAAUGACACAAACCAGGAGAAUUUCAGCUGAAUCAGAAAGCCCUGACUCAUCUCACUGACUGCACAAUCCAAAUCUUUCAGAAAAGCCUCCAAACCUGCAAAUGGUAUCUGUACAGUGGAGCUGCAGACUUUGAACUACCAACAAAAUGUUUGGCAAAUUGGGGACCUCUUGAAAAAUUAAAAGGGAAGGGAUAUUUAUUUUGAUUUUGCCUCAAAGAGAUGCUUCUCAUAGGCUCUAGACACCCUGCCAUCCAUUAAAAUACAUUCCAUACCAAUAAAUACAGUCUGUACCCCAUCUUCACCCUUUUUACAAGACCAUGAUAAAUUUUGUACUAAGUAUGCCUUGUGAGGUAUCAUUUCAAAAAUUCAAUUUGCUUAACAUUAUUGUCCUGGUAAAAUAUGUGUGGCAAAAUUACAUGUCAAAAAUUAUAAGAUUCUACUGUAUAAUAUUGCUGUAACAUGAUCCAAAUUUAGAAAAGCAGGCACAAACCAGUUCAUCAAAAAGAAAAGACAAACCAACACCUUUUCCUGGUGUCAACAAAGUCAAGUGGACCAUCACCUAGUUAAAUGGCCAUUCUUUGGCAGGAAGAAAUGUGUAAGCAAGAACUUUACAUAUUGACAAUAGAACAACUAGGGGUUCCCAUAUAAACAGAAUGGCUAUCACCUGCACCCCAGCUGGAGAUAAUCCCCAAAAAUAAUCCUCACACAACAUAAAUACCUCUCUACUCUACUCCUUUUCUCAUGGCAGCAAUGCCUUAAGAGACACUGAACUGAAGGAGGGGUCCUGGCUUAAAAGCUUCCAGCCAUUAAAGACUACAAAGAGCAGGUGAUGAGAAAAACCUUUGCUUAGAAUCUACCUAGCUUGGUAAAUUACAUACUAGUUUGCAUUUUAUCUUUUUAUUUUCUUUGUGACCAAGUCUGACUUUUAUGCCUCUUUACUUGUAAUCACUUAAAAUCUUUCUGUAGUUAAUAAACUUGUUCUAUUGUUUUGUCUAAA